rnacentral:lncRNA from 1 species
AGAUGGAAGCUAUGCUAGCAGACUGGCAGACUUUAGAAAUGCUUCAUUACAAAAGGACACUCAAAUGCCUAAUAUCUCCUCAAUGCUGACAGAUUUUGAGGAAUACUCUCGGGAUGGAGGGGUGAAACGAGAGCGUGAGUGUGUGAUGUGCUUGUCGGAGGAGAUGUCUGUGGUUUUUCUACCAUGUGCUCAUCAGGUGGUAUGCACGACAUGCAAUGAGCUCCAUGAGAAGCAGGGAAUGAAAGAAUGUCCUUCUUGUAGGAGCCUGAUCCAGCAGCGGAUUUCUGUGCGUUAUGCUCGCACUUAAACGUCACUUCAGGGAAUGAGUUAAAGCUAUCAAAAUAAUGAUCGAGCUCCAUGAGAAACAGGGAAUGAAAGAAUGUCCUUCUUGUAGGAGCCUGAUCCAGCAGCGGAUUUCUGUGCGUUAUGCGCGUACUUAAAACGUCACUUCAGGGAAUGAGUUAAAGCUCUCAAAAUAAUGAUUCGUGAAUCUUCAUAAUGAAUAAUGCAUUUGUGUCCCCUUUCGGAAAUCUGGACAAUUAUGUGACUGUUUUCAAGAAUGAAAAAGUAACAUAAAUAAGAAAAGCAAAAAAGAAAAAGAGAUAAAGAGUAUCAAGUGUGGCCGUUGUAAAUCAUCUAUUCCCUAUCAAAUAAAACUUGAGUUUUCCUCCUUGUUUUCUUUAAUACUAUGUGUUUCUUUAUCGACCAUAUGUUUUAAGUGAACUUGGCCAAUAAUGUGCUCCCUAUUGUUGUGAUCUUCUCUGAAUUUGUGCAUUAGAGUGAGGAUCUCUUUGCAUCAGUAUGCGACACAUUGUAUAUACUUGGCACUU